CGGGGUGAGUAACGCGUGGGUAACCUGCCUCAUACAGGGGGAUAACAGUUAGAAAUGGCUGCUAAUACCGCAUAAGACCACAGUACUGCAUGGUACAGUGGUAAAAACUCCGAUGGUAUGAGAUGGACCCGCGUCUGAUUAGGUAGUUGGUGAGGUAACGGCCCACCAAGCCGACGAUCAGUAGCCGACCUGAGAGGGUGACCGGCCACAUUGGGACUGAGGCACGGCCCAG
rnacentral:rRNA from 1 species